CUUUCAGUUACCCCAUCUGUCUGCCUCGUAAGCUGCUCGCUUUCUAAUGUUCUGUCUUCUGGGGGAAUAUAUUUUUUAAGGAAUCAUCGAUUUGAGAGGUCCAAAGAUGCAGAAACUGGCUGAUUUCAAGCUUCCUCAGUUCUUCAAUUAUCCUCCAUACUUCACGUUGCAGCCUGUGAGGGACACUCGUGAGAAGCAGAUACAGCUCUGGAAAGAGCUUAUUUUGGAUUACUGCAAAUCCCAAAAGA